CCGCUAAGUUGUGCGUUCCAGGGUGCACUCGCCGGCGAGGCUGCACGGCGCCGGUUUCAUUGCUAAAAUCCGACGGACUUGUUGCAGAACUCGUUUUUUUUGUCGGGAAAGGGCUUCCCCGUGUAACUUUACAGCAGUUAUCGUAGAUAAGACUUGCAAAUUACAGAUGUGGACGGUGAGGGAACGGGAAUUUCACUGAAAGCGCCUGAGAACCAGUAAGAGACCUGCAACAGCUUUGUGCUCCACUGGCGAAUGCUUCCUCCCCUAAUACACAUUAUGUGUGCUUGGAGACACAAGGAGUAAGAUACAGCCCCUCAAGGGACUCGUCAUAGGGAGAGGACACAGCUUUGGGAAUAAAGGGGCCACAAAGGAGGAGAGAGGAGUUUGCUGAAACUUCCCAAGCUCCCAUUCCAGCAGUUCCUGAAGGAUUCAUUUCUCUCUGAGGAUCUCAUGAGGUGGCUUAGCAGCUAGAAUCUCUUCCUUAACAGUGGGAAGAACAACUCCUGGAAAUUUAGGUCGACUUUGACUGGAUUUAAAAGAAAGCUGUACAAUUCCACUUCUGUAUAUACAACCAAAGGAAAUGAGAUGUGCAUACCCAUGUUCAAUGAAGCAUUAUUCACAAUAGCCAAAAUGUGGAACCAAUCCUUAAACAAAAGGAAAACAGAAAAUCUGCUCAAGUCCCUGCAGGCACCUGAGAAAAUCACAACCCACACUUGCGAACCCCUAGGAGACCUAAAGCUGUGGUUUUACAAAUAAACAGAUAAGUAACAUUCCUACUCUUUCCUAUAGGUACUCAAUCUUCUUAACAACUCCCAUCCCACACAGGUUUGCAUCCCCAGCAGAUACAUAUGGCUAUGUGGUCACCCAUUCGAUCAGCCUAUAAAAGACUUGUCUUAUUUGAUAUUGUGAAACCCAUGGUUAUCAGUGUAUAUGAAAAUGUUUGGUUCAGGGGUCAAUGUACAAUAUGACAAGCAAAGUCCUCUAAUACACAGUUAUAUAAAAUCACUCACCUGAGAGCCAAGUGGACAAUUGGCCUUAUAUUGGCUGGAGUUGGAGCCCCAGAGGGAAAAUUUGCCUAUUAUUAGGCAACUCUUCAAAACUUUACUUAUUCGUUUCUAAACACUGUCUCAUAAAAUGGGGGAUGCUUUAGAUGAAUUAAGAUUAGCACUAGAUUACUUAUUCGUUGAAAAUUAGCACUAGAUUUCUUAUUGGUUGAACAAGGAGGAGUGUGCACCAUAAUCAAUAUAACCUGCUGCAGUUAUGUAAACACCUCAGGUCACAUAGAAGAAGAUAUACAGAAAAUACAUGAACAAGCUGUGUGGUUGCGUAAAUAUAACCAAGGCACCAAUCCCAACUGUAUCUGGUCAGCCAUUAGAAGCACCCUCCUGAGUCUCACUUGGUUGUUGCCCUUCCUAGGAACUUUGAUAGUUGUCUUAUUAUUAAUCUUUGGCCCUUGCUUGUUUAAAUUCUUGGUAAAGUUUGUGUUUUUUAGAUUACAACAAUUCCACAUAAAGAUGAUACUGACACAAAGCUUCCAAUCCAUCCCGUCUUCUGAACCGGGAAAUAAAGACACCCUGCCUUUAGGUGUCUUUAGAUCUAGAUCAGGCAUCUAGAGAUUUUUACUCCUCCAAUACUUGGCAGGGUCUAUGCCCGUAGACUCAUCAGGAUACCAUGUAAAUGAGGACCUCCCUUGGUACCCCAGAGGCCAACUGUAGACCCUUAUGAGAAAAUCCUGUCCCCAAAAUGAACAUCCACUGUCAGCAGGAAGAAGUUACAGAAGACCAGCCUUUGCCCUUACGAUUAAGGGUCCUCUUGUAAGUAGAGAGGGGAAUGUUAGGAAAGCAGGAGCCUAGGUGAUCCAGAGUGACACCAUUUUAAAAUAAACUCCACCUGAAAACUAGCAAGGCAUCUGCACACAUCUGUUUAGCAAGUAUAUACUUCUGUAACUGGAAUAAAAAGCGUUAUUUUAGAAUAUGCCUAUAGUUUGUAAUAAUUAGCCGAGGGAAAAAAAGUUCACAUUGGUGUAGGAAAAGUGCCCUAAUGGUCAUGGGUAAUAAUGGGACCGUGGUUCUGGUCAGUGAUUUGAUGGAAGGGGUGUAGAUAAUAUAUUGUUGUAAAUAAUAAAAAUAAAAAAUUGUUGUAAGUAAUAAAAAUAAAAUAAUAUUGUUGUAAGUAAUAAAGUAGGAGAAAUAUUUGGUCUUUUGCUUUUGGGUUAGUGCAACAGUAGUACCAUUACUUGGAGGAGAAGUUAGAGAAGGACAAGAAUAGGCUUGAAUAAGAUGAGUGAGAAGAGAGAAAAAUUCCGUAAGUGGAGAUGGCCAGGGAACACCAGGGCAGCAGAAUCUAACUCUGAAUUUAAUGCUGUUGUCUGUUCAUAUUGCACUGCGCUGUAAUCUCCCUAUCUUUCCUAAACCAUUGGCAAAGUCUGCUAUCCACUGGGGCCUUGGGUCGGUGGUGCUUUGGGAAAUACCAGAAGAGGGAAAGUACGGCAAAUGUGCAGUGUCACAGAUGAUAGGAGGAAAGCUGGCCAGUGGGAUGAUUAAAACAAUUUCGGUGGGAGUGGGAAUUCAGACCAUGUAAAUGGUCUGAAUUAAGAAAAUUUCAAGAAACAAAAAAUGUUUCUAAUGAGCCAAAGUGAAAGCUCUUCAUGAUUUCUUUAUAGAGGCUCUCUAGUGCUUGUCCUAAUUUCCUGAAAUCUCAUGGGUAUCUUACUCUCCUGGUGCCCGCCUCAAACAUUCACUGUAGCAAUUAUAUGAGCAGCCUAGAGAAUCCCAAUCCCAGUGGUCUUGCUCCCUGGAUCUACUUUCUCUUAAAAAUCAUUCCCCUAAGUUUCCGUCACUUGGUUGAAGUUUAGUAGAUAUCUCCACAUCUCCAGCUAGAACAGCACCAGAAUUUCAGGACUAGGGCAAUAGAGUCUGAUAUUAAAUUCUAUUUCUAUCUAUCUAUCUAUCAUCUAUCUAUCUAUCUAUCUAUCUAUCUAUCUAUCUAUCUAUCUAUCUACAGAACAAUUUGUGGGAUAGUAGCUUUGGGGUCCCAGAUCUAGGAUGGGCCUGGUCCUCCAUGCUGGUUCUCCUGGGUGAUAUUUCUGUUAGUUUGAACAGUAAUCACACUUUUAUUACUGUUUCAUCUUUUUUUUUUCACUCUUAGACUGAUUUUAUCAUGUGUAUAAAACAUACACACACCUACAUCUCAAGGAUAAACAUUAAUCCUUGAAAAAUAUGUGGUCUAAAACUAUAUUGAGGAGAGAAAGAUAGGACACUUUAAUUGCCACAUGAUUAACACGAGGUCACCACACAGCUUUCACAAAUCUACAAGUCAUUCUAUUUAGGCUGAGUCAAGUUCUCCCUUGGGCCAGCCAGAGCACAAAUAAUGGAGCAAUGUGACUCUUCAAUGACAGAUCUCUGAUUUCCAGAAAAGAGACUUUGAAAUACCCAAUUCUAGUAAAUAUGCAAUUAAAUUUCCAGCUAAAUGACCUUUGCUCCUGUAGUCUUCAUCUUGGGGAAGGGAAAGAAGUCUUAUUCUGUUUAAUAGUUUGAUUUUUAUAAUAGGGUUUGUCUCUGUUAUAAAUCUUGUUUGAUAUUUAAAAUGUUAGCUAAGAGAAAACUUCUGUUUGUUUUUAUUUAGUGGGAAGAAACUAACCCUCAUUGAGUGCCUAGUUAACAUCAGGCACUUUGUACACAUAAUCAAUUGAAUCUUGACCACAACCCUGUGAGGUGAAAAAUGAGAAGAUUAAAUAAGCCAUGGGAAGAUUUUUUAAAAUGACAUGAAACUCCAAGGGUAAAAAGUAGGCAUUUCCACCUUUCCCUGCUUCAUCCAUACCUCCAAAAACAGAACCCUUCAAAGAACGUCCUGAGAAGAACAACUGGCCACUGAUUUUGAGUUGAACACUGGCAGGCAACACCCCAACAACCACACAGACCCCAUAGCUCUCAUUGCAGGAGGCGAGGGCAGCUGCCUGUUAGAAAGUGAUGCAAUACAGUAUAGGGGUUAAAAGAUGUAUGUGAGGAUUGAGCCUACAUCUUAAUUUCAGCUUAACUCCUAAAUGGUCUAUGACUUUCUUUUCUGAUUCUCCCUAUUCUCAUUUGAAGUAACAUUUAUCUUGUAAGGAUGCUAUGAAACACAUAUAAGACGUUGUAUGUUGCUUAGUAUAGUACCUGGCACUUUAGGACUCAAUAAAUGGAAAUAACAAAAAUGAAAAUAGUAAAAACAUCCACAGUAGUGAUAAUAAUAAAAAUAAUUUUUAUAAAAAUUAUUACUGAUGCAGGUGGCUGGUAAGAAUUGACAUUUUUCUUUUAGACAUCUAAGAAGACAGAUAUUUAUAUAAUAAGAUGAUAGCAAAGUGAGAAACAGAUACCGUUACAUUCGUUAUGUUCAAAGGCUAUUUCUCAGAGUAAGAGUGUGAGAAAGGUUUUGCUGUUUCUUCUUACAGAUAAAGGAAUUUAUGUAUGGUGAAUCAUGAAAAGAUUUUUUAUGCUGGGAAAAGGGCCCAAGUUGGAAGAGGCAGUUGUUGAGUUUCCAUACAGCUGACUAGACGAUAGAGCCAUGCAACCUAAUAAUACAUUAUUUCUUCAAAUCCCCAAAGAAAACAAGCCUUAGAUUUUUAAGUAACUUCCCCUCACUUUCUAUUCUUUUAUAUAAACCACGUUUAGCCAGAAAAACCACCACUUUUUUUCCCCUUCAUUUUUGAAAUGAACCCGUUUAAUCGUGACUAGUAAAUAUUUUUCUUGGAAACUUAUCUCAGAUCUGACAUGAAAGACGACUGAAAGUGAAAAGCACAUUGAUUUAUAAGGUCAUUAAUCAAAUUUUAAUCUUAUCUUGCUUAAAACUUCUGGCUUUGAAAUUAUAUGAAAGUUCUAGAUUUAGUAUCUGGGAUAGUGAACAAAUUUGUAAGAGUACACAGACGGCACCAGCUGAGAUGUCAUGGAACACAAGGAAAAUUAAAUAGAGCAAAGUGGAGGGAAUUUUAGAAAGCUCAUUCAACUAUAAUCUAAACGAUGACUGGUAAAAGUAUUGGUAAUUUUCACUCCA
rnacentral:lncRNA from 1 species